GCCAACCUUACUGAGAUCAAAGUGGGAUUUCACUAGGCUAUAGAAAACAAUCAGGGAAUUAAAAUGUCGAUAUUAUUAUUUAGGACUAUAAGACUUUAUUUAUAUUAUCUAACUGAUUUUAUUUCUUAUUUGUAAUGAUAUAGCCUAACCGAUGCCUAUUUAUAGGCUGUUCAUGUGACCUCUGUACUCGACUGCUUUGUGUUUUUUUGUGUGAGCCUUUAUUAAGCAUGUCUUUGUAGAAAGAACCAUGUAUAGUGCCCCCCCCCCCCCCCCCCCCCUUUAAGCAGUCUAUUUGUCUUUGUAGAAAGAACCGAGUAGUGCCUCUUUUACCUGGAAAAAGGAACAGGGAAAAAAGCGAGAAUUAAAUCAAUGUGUGUUUCCAAACAAAACGAAUGGAAUCAAAGACGUGUUUGGUUUUUCUGUGGUUCUCUCCGCGGGCGAUCCCUCUCUUCUUCAGAUGACCCCUCAUUGGAGUCUUGGAUUGUGCGACACAAAGCAAUAGAAGGGCAGCCAGGCCUGAGAAUCCGCCGUGUUCAUUGCCCUUUCAGCCCACCUCGAGAAGUGGUUUACUCCUCAGAAGUGUAUUUGGCAUGAAUAGAUUGGGGUCUCAACAAAGCGGCCGAGCUCUGGGCUCCUCAUCGGUGUUUGGAAACCACUGGUUCGUGUGAUGAGACCGAGGGGAGAUCUGGGUCUGGAGGCUCUCUCUUGCUGCAUUAGGCUGAAAUAGGUUUGGGAUGACCUAAACGAUUUGUUGACUGGGACAAUACAUCUGUUGUGUGUUUCUUGGCAUGCUGAGGGGAGGAUUACAAGUUGUCGUACAAAGGAAUGCAAAUUGCUGGCCAAACUGUUGGAGAGGGCUUGGAGGAGGCGAGCAAUUCGCACCAUUUGUGCGGAUCCCUUUUUCUUUUUCUCCCCUUUAUUUUAUGUUUUUCUAUUAGGCCUAAUAACUGUGAAGAGGUUGAAAGUAGUCACUGUAUUCAUCCCAAAUCAAUAGAUCACCCAUAGCAAGCCCUGUAGACCCCUAUAUUUGCAUUUCAUUGAAAUAUCGACGCUAAAAGGUGACCAGGAGGACAAUGUCCUUCACUGGUGUUAGGACAUUUUAAUAGGGAACCGCAUGAAAAGUCUUGAAUCACUAGAUUUUCUUCACCCUCUUCGAUCUCUUCUGAGCCUCCCUGUGUAAUUAUGUCACAUGAGUCUGCAGAGUUUAAUUUUGGUCCACCGGCACACCAAAUAAGCUAUUGACUUAAACUCAGUUCACCUGCUAUAAUUUUCAUAACAGUAUCAUUUGACUGCAGUAGUUGAUAAAAAUACUAUUCGAUAGAUUUAGAAUAUUGUAGGAUCAUAUUUACGCGUUUUGAGGAAAUGCUUAUAGUCCUAAAGACAAUUUAAA
ensembl:lncRNA